CUCUCUUUCCUUUUUGAGAAAUGCUUUUGCGAAGAAGUCAUAGUACAAAGUUAGCAACAUGCCAAUCCGAUUGUCACUGAAAGAUCUGAAAUUUACUCCAUUUCCCAGCCAAUGACUCAUAUCCUGCGUCAUAAACUGUCUAGAAGUGAGAACGUGGUGUCUCUUGGGAAGCAAAAGAGAUUCAUUGUGAGCAGAGUGUGCUCCUCAAGGUUCCUGCUGAGGUCCGAGCAAAGAUGGACACCUGCUUCUGUUGGGUUAACUGGCCCAGUCAUGGCUUCAGUCUCUUGCAACUGUCAGGCUCCUGGAUGUUUCUUCUUUGGCCCCCCAAGGCUGGUCUGGAACCCUCCACCCUGUGCCUGUGCAGCACCAGCCUCCACCCAGCCGGGUCCCUCCUGAGUGAACUUCCCAGGGAUGCUGAGCCCCACCUGGAAGUCAGUGAGGCUUAGGUCAUCAGCACUGCUUCUUGCUGGCUGAAGACCCUGCUUCCCUUCUCCAAGCCUCAGUACCUUCCACUGUCCAAUGGGGAUAAUAGGAUCUUCUUCCUAGCUCUGCUGCAGGUAUUCUGGGAAAUAAUAUAUGUCCUCUAGUCAGUGAGCAGGAAAAGCUA
rnacentral:lncRNA from 1 species